rnacentral:rRNA from 1 species
GAGUUUGAUCAUGGCUCAGGACGAACGCUGGCGGCGUGCCUAAUACAUGCAAGUCGAGCGAAUCACCGGGAGCUUGCUCUCGGCGAUUAGCGGCGGACGGGUGAGUAACACGUGGGCAACCUGCCUGUAAGACUGGGAUAACUUCGGGAAACCGGAGCUAAUACCGGAUCAAUCUUUUCCUCGCAUGAGGAAAAGCUAAAAGACGGUUUCGGCUGUCACUUACAGAUGGGCCCGCGGCGCAUUAGCUAGUUGGUGAGGUAACGGCUCACCAAGGCGACGAUGCGUAGCCGACCUGAGAGGGUGAUCGGCCACACUGGGACUGAGACACGGCCCAGACUCCUACGGGAGGCAGCAGUAGGGAAUCUUCCGCAAUGGACGAAAGUCUGACGGAGCAACGCCGCGUGAGUGAUGAAGGCC